GUAGUCUCGCACAGAUGCAUAUCAAUAAGCGGAGGAAAAGAAACUAACAAGGAUUCCCUCAGUAACGGCGAGUGAAGCGGGAAGAGCUCAAAUUUGAAAUCUUGAAAGGUCACCUUUCACGAAUUGUAGUUUAAAGAAGUGUUUUCUGUUACGAUCGUAAUAUAAGUUCUUUGGAAUAGGACAUCACAGAGGGUGAGAAUCCCGUCUAUGAUUGCGAUUUGUAGCUUUGUGAUACACUUUCAAAGAGUCGGGUUGUUUGGGAAUGCAGCCCAAAACGGGAGGUAAAUUUCUUCUAAGGCUAAAUAUUGGCGAGAGACCGAUAGCGAACAAGUACCGUGAGGGAAAGAUGAAAAGAACUUUGAAAAGAGAGUUAAAUAGUACGUGAAAUUGUCAAAAGGGAAGCGUUUAACACCAGUGUUGUUUUCUGAAAAUCAACCUCUGUUAGCUUUAUGCAUGUUUGUUUAGACCUAAAUCAGCUAUCUUGCAUGUUCCUAUUGUUUGCAGUGGUGCACUUUUCAGUUUACAGGUCAACAUCAGUUUUUUUUACCGUAAAAAAGUUAAAGAAAGGUAGCUCAUGGCUCCGGUCGUGAGUGUUAUAGUCUUUUUCCUAUGCGGUAGGAGAGACUGAGGUCUGCAGUGUAGGCUAUUUGGCUAGAUACUCAGGUGCUAUGUGAUACCAUUUCAUAAACAACUUGUUGAUUAUGUUUUGUCUAUUGCAUACUCGCUUGUACUAUCAUACCUACGCUUAGGAUGUUGAGUCGUAGAGCACGCAG
rnacentral:rRNA from 1 species